rnacentral:rRNA from 1 species
GACGAACGCUGGCGGCGUGCUUAACACAUGCAAGUCGAACGGAAAGGCCCUGCUUUUGUGGGGUUCUCGAGUGGCGAACGGGUGUGAAACACGUGAGUAACCUGCCCUUGACUUUGGGAUAACUUCAGGAAACUGGGGCUAAUACCGGAUAGGAGCUCCUGCUGCAUGGUGGGGGUUGGAAAGUUUCGGCGGUUGGGGAUGGACUCGCGGCUUAUCAGCUUGUUGGUGGGGUAGUGGCUUACCAAGGCUUUGACGGGUAGCCGGCCUGAGAGGGUGACCGGCAACAUUGGGACUGAGAUACGGCCCAGACUCCUACGGGAGGCAGCAGUGGGGAAUAUUGCACAAUGGGCGGAAGCCUGAGGCAGCAACGCCGCGGGCGGGAUGACGGCCUUCGGGUUGUAAACCGCUUUCGCCUGUGACGAAGCGUGAGUGACGGUAAUGGGUAAAGAAGCACCGGCUAACUACGUG